rnacentral:pre_miRNA from 7 species
GGUUUUCAUCCUUCUCGGCUACAGGCUAAUACUGUUGCUAACAUGCAACUCUGUUGUAUAAAAAUUGGAAUUGCACUUUAGCAAUGGUGAUGGACUGUAAGACAUGCACACCGAGUUGCA